rnacentral:rRNA from 1 species
AGAGUUUGAUCCUGGCUCAGGACGAACGCUGGCGGCGUGCUUCAUACAUGCAAGUCGAGCGAGGACAGACCGGAUCUUCGGAUUUGGUUUGAGCCGAGCGGCGGACGGGUGCGUAACACGUGGGUAAUCUGCCCACCAGACGGGGAUAACCCCGGGAAACCGGGGCUAAUACCGGAUGCGGCCUGGAUCCCGCAUGGGGUCUGGGUCAAAGCAUGGCCUCUGAUACAAGCUAUGGCUGGUGGAUGAGCCCGCGGCCCAUUAGCUCGUUGGUGGGGUAACGGCCUACCAAGGCGACGAUGGGUAGCCGGCCUGAGAGGGUGGUCGGCCACACUGGGACUGAGACACGGCCCAGACUCCUACGGGAGGCAGCAGUAGGGAAUUUUGGACAAUGGGGGAAACCCUGAUCCAGCGACGCCGCGUGCGCGACGAAGGCCUUCGGGUUGUAAAGCGCUGUCAUCCGGGACGAAGGUCCUCUCUUCGAAGAGGGGAGAGGAAUGACGGUACCGGAGGAGGAAGCCCCGGCUAACUACGUGCCAGCAGCCGCGGUAAUACGUAGGGGGCGAGCGUUGUCCGGAAUGACUGGGCGUAAAGGGCGUCUAGGCGGCCUGGUAAGUCCGAUGUGAAAGGGCCACGGCUUAACCGUGGAGGGUCAUUGGAAACUGUCAGGCUUGAGGGCAGUAGAGGGGUGCGGAAUUCCCGGUGUAGCGGUGAUAUGCGUAGAGAUCGGGAAGAACACCAGUGGCGAAAGCGGCACCCUGGGCUGGCCCUGACGCUAAAGCGCGAAAGCGUGGGGAGCGAACGGGAUUAGAUACCCCGGUAGUCCACGCCGUAAACGAUGGGUACUAGGUGUGGGAGGUAUCGACCCCUUCCGUGCCGGAGUUAACGCAAUAAGUACCCCGCCUGGGGGAGUACGGCCGCAAGGCUGAAACUCAAAGGAAUUGACGGGGGCCCGCACAAGCAGUGGAGCAUGUGGUUUAAUUCGACGCAACGCGAAGAACCUUACCCGGGCUUGACAUCCUCCGCCAUCCCUAGAGAUAGGGAGUUCCUUCGGGACGGAGAGACAGGUGCUGCAUGGUUGUCGUCAGCUCGUGUCGUGAGAUGUUGGGUUAAGUCCCGCAACGAGCGCAACCCCUAUCCUGUGUUACCAGCAUUGAGUUGGGGACUCACGGGAGACUGCCGGUGACAAACCGGAGGAAGGUGGGGAUGACGUCAAAUCCUCAUGGCCCUUAUGUCCGGGGCUACACACGUGCUACAAUGGCCAACACAACGGGCGGCGACCUGGCGACAGGAAGCGAAUCCCUGAAAGUUGGUCUCAGUUCGGAUCGGAGGCUGCAACUCGCCUCCGUGAAGUCGGAAUUGCUAGUAAUCGCGGAUCAGAAUGCCGCGGUGAAUACGUUCCCGGGCCUUGUACACACCGCCCGUCACACCAUGGGAGCCGGCAACACCCGAAGCCGGUGGCCGAACCCUUUUGGGACGGAGCCGUCGAAGGUGGGGCUGGUGACUGGGGUGAAGUCGUAACAAGGUAACC